AAACCUCCGCAAUGUACGAAAGUGCGACGGGGGGAUCCCAAGUGUUAUGCUUUUUUGUAUAACUUUUCAUUAGUGUAAAAAGCUUUUAGAAUAAGAGCUGGGCAAGACCGGUGCCAGCCGCCGCGGUAACACCGGCAGCUCGAGUGGUAGCUGUUUUUAUUGGGCCUAAAGCGUUCGUAGCCGGUUUGAUAAGUCUUUGGUGAAAGCUUGUAGCUUAACUAUAAGAAUUGCUGGAGAUACUAUCAGACUUGAAGUCGGGAGAGGUUAGAGGUACUACCGGGGUAGGGGUGAAAUCCUAUAAUCCUGGGAGGACCACCUGUGGCGAAGGCGUCUAACUGGAACGAUCUUGACGGUGAGUAGCGAAAGCCAGGGGCGCGAACCGGAUUAGAUACCCGGGUAGUCCUGGCCGUAAACGAUGUGGACUUGGUGUUGGAAUGGCUUUGAGUUGUUCCGGUGCCGAAGGGAAGCUGUUAAGUCCACCGCCUGGGAAGUACGGUCGCAAGACUGAAACUUAAAGGAAUU
rnacentral:rRNA from 1 species